CAAAGAGUAGCUUAACAUUAAAGCAUUCAACUUACAAUUGAAAAACGUCAAUAUACAACCUGGCCUCUUUGC
rnacentral:tRNA from 1 species